rnacentral:rRNA from 1 species
GGGGGGGGGGGGCGGGGGGCGGAGCAGGUGCAAGGCGAGCGGGGCGGGCGGGGGGGGGGGCGCGCGGGUGCGGAACGGGGGGGAACGUGCCCUUGGGUGCGUGGUACCUGCCCGAGCGGGGUGCUAAUACCGGGUAGGGUCUUCGGACGAAAGAUUUAUCGCCGUGGAGGGGGCCCGCGUUGGAUUAGCGAGUUGCUAGGGCAAAAGCCUACCAAGGCGACGCUCCAUAGCUGGUCUGAGAGGAGGAUCAGCCACACUGGGACUGAGACACGGCCCAGUCUCCUACGGGAGGAAGCAGUGGGGAAUAUUGGACAAUGGGCGAAAGCCUGAUCCAGCAAUGCCGCGUGAGUGAUGAAGGCCUUAGGGUUGUAAAGCUCUUUUACCCGGGAUGAUAAUGACAGUACCGGGAGAAUAAGCGCCGGCUAACUCCGUG